rnacentral:pre_miRNA from 1 species
CUAGCUCGAAAUUUCAGAGACACACUUAUAUUAUACUAAGGUCCUGUUACCCCUGAACUUAUUUUAUAAGUAACUUUCUACCUCUUUUCGAUCUACGUGACAUUAACUUGGAAAAGAAAAGUCAACCAGCGUUGGAUCCACAAGAUAGUGUCACGUAGAUCGAAAUGAGAUAGAAAAUUAUUAAUAAAAUAAGUUCAGAGGUAAUAAAACCUUAAUAGUAUAAGUGUGUCUCUGAGAUUUCGGAUAUAGG